rnacentral:rRNA from 1 species
AUGGGAACCAUUGUCCUAAAGUCAACAGGAUCAUCAAUGUUCUCUGUGCCGCAAAGCCCGAUAGGUGUGUUGGAUGUUGAUGCAUGUCUCAGCCAACAGAGUGAUGAAGUUGUUGGAUCUCCAGCAACAUGCUACCACACCUCUUCGACAAGCAAAAGGCUGAGAAUUGGCAGAUGA